rnacentral:rRNA from 1 species
GACGGAGGGCGCGGGCGUAUUCGUUUUGAUUGGGUGUAAAGGGUAUGUAGAUAGUUUCCAGUGUUUUGGCCGAAAGAGCGGAGUGUUCCUACGCGCAAGGCCUUCUAAAAACGAAGCUUGAGUUGAAGAGAGGUAGGGUCAAAUUCUUAAGUAGGGGUAAGAUCCGACGAUAUGAGAAUGAACGUCAGCUGGCGAAGGCGCCCAUCCCGCUUCAACUGACAUUAAGGUACGAAAGCUUAGGUAGCAAACGGA